GGGCAGCAUGGCGGGCGGCGGAGGCGGUUGGGCUGCCAUCUCCCCUCAGCGCGGGGAGAUGGGGGUGAGGGCACGCACCGGGCUUUUGGCUGGAUAUGGCGGGCCGUGAGGCCGCCCCGCGCGCCUCAGCCCGUUCAGAAAGAGCGCAGCGCGGCGGUAGCGUGGGGGUCAGUGGCCCCUCAGUACCGAGCCGAGGCCAGUAGGAAAAAGUUUAAGGUGUAGUGACCUACAUGUAAGUCACGUAGGUGGUCUGGGUACAAAUGCUGUUGGAAGGCCAUACACACAAAAAAAUGUUCAUUCCUAUAGUCUUGAAGGGAAGCUGACAAAAGCUUGAAGACCACGAGAAGGCAUGUUCUAUUUUAUGUUUAGUGCACUUGACUGCUUUCGCUGCCAGUCACAACUUCUGAACAGCACAACUUCACACCGGCUUGCAAAUCUAGUGUGUUGGAGAUGUUCCAGCUUCCUCUAUUGAAAACUGAAAUAAUUCCACAGUGCACACAGCGUGUUUGUCACUUCUUCAAGCUGUCCUCUGCUGCACAAGAGCCGAUUAUUCACAAAGGUGCCGGCUUGGAGGGAGAGUGGUGUUUGAUUUAUUGCUUAUCAUCACCGGUCAUAUUCUGUCUUCUGUAUCACUUGUUCAACUGUGGUGUCUUGAGAAUUACUUUGCAAAGCUGAUGGUGCACAAGGGACGAGACUCCUGGGUGAAGACGAAGACUUGCUGAAAUCUGUGAGCUCUUCCCAAGCACAGAUUGCACCCUGAAUGCAUGUGGGCAGAAGCUAGAUGAAUAAGGAGGAGCCAAGUGACCUCUGAAAGAAAAGCAAUAGCAAUUUUUCAUCUGGGUACAGCGUCAUCAUGCAGGAGUGAAAGAAUUUGGCAAAGGUUAUUAAUUAUCACAUAAAUGAUCUAGUCUUCCUUGGCUGGGUGGGUGACCAGGGAUGGAGGAGUAUGGACCACUCACAGUAUGCCUUGGCUUGGGAGCCCUGGUUGAAACACAGUCAUGCUCUGCCAAGUCUGACAGCCUCGUGCUCAUGCAGUGUUUCUCAAUCUGCGAGCCGUGGCUGAUGGGCAAAGCGGCAUGGAGAGCAUCCCGUCCCACUCUGCGAAACACGAUGUGACAAGGCACGGGGCACGCGGGUUUAGUUGGAAGUGUGGUGGGGGAUUGCAGGUGGAGAGGUGAUGCACACUCAGCGACUGGAGAGCAGAUCACCUUGCGCUAACCAGAGCUGCCUCCGGGCACCCUGGCACUGUAGGCAGUAUUAAAAUCUGCUGCAUUAAAGAAAAAGGGGUUAACCCAGGCUGGACUUCUCCUACAAAGGACCUGGAUGAGAAGCAGGAAGAAUGAGGGGAGGGAAGGAAUGACUCUGGGGGAAACCCUGAAAAUUAUGUGCUUCCCUUUCCUGCUAGAGAUACAGGAGGGUGUGAGGCAGUGUUUGCCACUGAGGAGAGCCACCUUUCAAGUACUGUUUGUCAUCUCACACACCCUGAUGGGCCUUGGCAGCAGCACACCCUUAUCUCCAGCAUGUUGGUAAAUUUGAGUGCGCGGCAGUUUCCUAAUUCACCAAGCCAGGGCCUGGGCUGCUCUUUAUGUUCUCUGCACUUUCCUUCUCCCCAUUCUAAUGGGCAGAUUAAUUUUUUAAUAAGUUUGGAUACAAUUUAACUGUAGACGGAAAAUUUUCAUGCAUUGCUUAAGCCUUUAGCAGUUUAAAGGGGAGGAAUAUUGUCUCCAUCAAGAUCCACAGCAAGUGAAAUGCCUGCUGUCUCUUAACACUAUUAUAAUGAUGGUGCUUCAAUAAUGUUCCCCAUGGGCUGGAUCCGUGGAGGAUGCCACAGCGAUUUUCCUUUCACUGGAGUUAGUUCGGGCUUGUUUCACACCCACCUUUGCUUUAUUUACACCUGCCUGUUGUUUUGUUAUUUACGUAUCUUGGGUUAUAUAACGCAGCAGCCGCCUCUUUACGUGUAUCUGGAAGCAUUAUAUGAAUUUGCACGCCUUGUGCAGAGCUACCUGCUAGGAGCUUCCAAAGGGACAAGCCAUUUUGCUCUUACAAGCAGCACAGAAAACCAGGCUGCAGAAGAUGAGGAAUUGGGUCUUUUUGAACAUGGUGGGUCUUUGAAAGUGUUGAGGUCUUAAAGUUGUGCAGGGGGAAACACCUGAAAGUCGUCUCACUGACUUUGUAUCAUGCUCACCUGCAAUUAAAAUAAUUUUAGCGGGUUUUGUGUGA